rnacentral:rRNA from 1 species
CAGCCGCCACGGGAAAACGUAGGUGGCAAGCGUUGUCCGGAAUUAUUGGGCGUAAAGCGCGCGCAGGCGGAUCAGUUAGUCUGUCUUAAAAGUUCGGGGCUUAACCCCGUGAUGGGAUGGAAACUGCUGAUCUAGAGUAUCGGAGAGGAAAGUGGAAUUCCUAGUGUAGCGGUGAAAUGCGUAGAUAUUAGGAAGAACACCAGUGGCGAAGGCGACUUUCUGGACGAAAACUGACGCUGAGGCGCGAAAGCCAGGGGAGCGAACGGGAUUAGAUACCCCGGUAGUCCCUGUCUCUUAUACC